rnacentral:tRNA from 1 species
AGCUAUAAUCUAAAGCCGCUAACUUUUAAUUUAGCAAUUAAUGUUGUUAAUAGCUUUAU